GUUCAAAGGUAUUGGUGACUAUCCCGCCGAGUACAAUCCCAAAGUGCAUGGACCUUACGAUCCGGCCCGUUUUUAUGGCACUCCCUCCACGCCGUUUUCAGA
rfam:Acyrthosiphon pisum strain LSR1 Contig23742, whole genome shotgun sequence.